AAAGACCCUACGAGCAACUGACAAAUAGACUGACUGGCUUCCUCUAUUACUAUUAUGGUGUUAAGUAAAAACAGGAAGUUGCCCCAGAGGUCUGAAACGCGUCGUCAGAUAGACUAACUGGCGAUUUACUGCAGACCUCUUAUUGUGGAGCGGUGACAGAAGUUCAAACUCAGGACAGCCAGGAGGCUAAUGCUAAAGUGCUGUUGGUGCUGCGGUUGAUUUCUGCUACCUUGGCCCAACGUUUUUUCAGCCCGGUUGGAAUGCGGCAGUGGCCUCUUGCAAGCGGCAGCGUCCAGGGAGCCUAAAAAGGGAAGGACUUUCAGUCUGGGUUCCUGGCAGUGGUAGGAAGGAGUUGCAGGCAGGCAGGAGGGCAGGCAGGCAGCAGGCUAAAUUAGGCCUUGUCUCAUUGACUUCCACUCCCCAGAGGCCUGCAGCCAGCCCUGAGGAAGGAAGGCCACACUAGAGGCUCCUAUUGCCUGCUGCGCUACUGUGUCUUUGAGAGUUCCUGAAGAACCCCAGUCCCUGUGCUGUGUUUGGUCAAUUGGAUCUGGAUAGAAGGUGUAGAUGUGCUGAGUGCUGCUCUCCUCUCCAUAUUGACUUCAGAAGGCCUGUCUGUCUCCUGUCUCAGUGACAGAUCGACUGACGUGGCGUACGAGGUCUGAGGUACAGAUGCUCUCAGAAGCCUUGUGAGCAGGAAGUUGGGGUUGUGUCCAGUCUUUAGGCAGAAUCCAGAUCAGCUGCGCAACCAGUUGGACAAGGACAGGGACAACCAGUUGGACAAGGACAGGGAUAACCAGGUGGACAAGGACAGGGACAACCAGGUGGGUUGUGGGCAGUGACUGCAGGAAUCAUCAGGCAGACAAUAGAUCUGCAACACAACCAGUAUAUAUUGGUUCAGGGACAUCUAGGAGUCGUCAGGUCUGAUAGUCCUGAGGUGUGGUCCAAGGCC
ensembl:lncRNA